AACACUGCCCAUGUUGUUUUUGUCGGCCAUGUUGCUGUGCGGGCAGUUCGCGUUUCGAUUCUUGUUCUUCCGGUGCCAUUUUGUCGCGAAAAUCAAGAAAAGUGAUCGUUUUGUAAGUUUGGUAACCGCGAUUUGUCUGCAAGACGGCCGCUGCUGCAACCACAGGCGAUUUUUCUUCCCGUCCUCCUCCGAAUGCGGCCAAGGAAGUGCAGAAGAAGACGCACGCAUUCCAUCAGGUUUUAAUCCAUCAACGGGUUUGCCCGUACAUACGCGCCCCUAACGGAAGCCGUCUCUUUCUAGGGGAAUCUGGAAUGAACCAAAAUUUGUGUCAUUCCGGGCAUGAAUUAUGUCGCCCAUGCGAAUAUUCUGCCGUAUGAUUCCGGCGAAAAUCAUCCGCUGCAACACGAGCUGUUCCGUAAGUUUGUGGCGCACCAACCGGACAAGGACCCGCUGUUUAAGCGCUCAGGAGGAUGACAGGGCAUGGAAAAAGUGGAACCAAUGGCUGGAGCACGUCGAAUCACCGAAGGCAUACGGGUGACCGUGUUCCCGUUCUACAUGGGAUGUCGCGAUACGUCAGCUGCUUCGGUGUAUUGGGUCGGUACGAAUAACAUUAUCGAGCUCUGUGAAUCAUUUUAAUGGUUUCUAAGGCAACCUCAACACAUCCUUGAGUGCCUUCAGACUUGUAUUUCAUCUGGAAGUGUUCACUGCAGAUCCUCAGAUUCAUCACCGGAAGCGUCCAAGCCAUUAUGUUCCAUAUUUUAAAUAAUUGUUUAAUGCUAUAAAA
rnacentral:lncRNA from 1 species